rnacentral:rRNA from 1 species
CUACGGGGGGCUGCAGUGGGGAAUAUUGGACAAUGGGCGCAAGCCUGAUCCAGCAAUACCGCGUGUGUGAAGAAGGCCUGCGGGUUGUAAAGCACUUUCAAUUGUGAAGAAAAGCCUGGGGUUAAUACCCUCGGGUCUUGACGUUAACUUUAGAAGAAGCACCGGCUAACUCCGUGCCAGCAGCCGCGGUAAUACGGAGGGUGCGAGCGUUAAUCGGAAUUACUGGGCGUAAAGCGUGCGUAGGCGGCUAGGUCAGUCAGAUGUGAAAGCCCCGGGCUUAACCUGGGAACUGCAUUUGAUACUGCCUGGCUAGAGUAUGGGAGAGGGAAGUGGAAUUCCGGGUGUAGCGGUGAAAUGCGUAGAUAUCCGGAGGAACACCAGUGGCGAAGGCGACUUCCUGGACCAAUACUGACGCUGAGGUACGAAAGCGUGGGUAGCAAACAGGAUUAGAUACCCGCGUAGUC